ensembl:lncRNA
GCGCACCCUUCACAAAUCAGCCUUUACUAAACGGGACCCAUCCACUGUAGUACUGCAGUAGUAGUACUACUUCCUCUACUACGCAGUAUUUCCAUUUACUGCGCAGUCUUUGUCCUCAGAGACUGUCACUGCCGUUAAUUCAGGAGGUCGAGGCAAACGGACAGACCUAAUGCCACCCAAGAGGGAUGCGGGGGCCCCCUCCACAUCUCCCCCAGUGAAGAUGAUAAAGAUCGGCACAGACGGACAGGAGUAUGGCUGUGAUCCAGAUGAGAGCAGGUACAGACUGACAGAGGAGGGCUCCUACUCCCCUUAUGUUAACAAUGAGAAUGAACACGUGUUUGAUGAAGACAACAUCACCAGCACAGGCCUCAGAACAGAUACCAUCAGCCUGCUGAUGAAGAUAGAGCAGCUCCAAGCACAGCUCAAGUACGAACGCAGGUGUAGGAUUCUGGCAGAGAGAGAGCUGCGGGAGCUCAAAGAGAUGAACACCCUGAUGAUGCAGAUGCGGCACACGGCCCAUGAGCUGAGAGUGACUUUAGAUCAUGUUCUUCAAACAAACGAGCCUCCGGUCACACAGUCCAACGCUGUAGAUGAGUCCAUAUCAUACAUGUCAGAGCCCGACACAGAUGUGAGAGCAGCUCAUAACAUGCCCCCCGAAGUGCACAAUAUACCUCCUGCCAACACAAUGCCGCCUGUGCUGCAGAAUCUUCCAGAGGAUGAUGAGAAUUAUCUAUAUCUGGCGGAGAAUAUUCGAGUGCCCAGGAAUCUGUAUGAGCGAAUAGCAGAGAUCGAGGACUAUAAGAAGUACACGGGUGCACUUCUGAUGAUGCUUUUUGACAGAGACACUUUAGCCACACACUCUCUACAGGGACGCAGGGGCACUCUCAGCGGAUCAGACGACUCUCAAAAACCACAACUACCACCGGACAUCCUGAGAAAUAUUAUUGAACAUAUUUCAAGUAAAUUUGGAGUUGACCAUGGUCUUAUUAAAACUGCCAUCAGGACGAAGUUGAAUAAUGAGGAUAAAUUGUUCAAGAAAAGGCAUGGGUUAGGUAAAUCUGAAAACAAAAUACCUCCUGUUUAUUGUCCAGAAAUAUUAAGAAAAUCUGAGCCUAAAAUUGAACCUGCCUAUUUCCCACUUCUGCCUGAGCCCGAAGACAAUGGAGGUGAUUUACAGCAGUAACUUUUUGUUCAAAUGAAGACUUUUGCCUAGGUUCAUUUCUGUACAACAGUUUUAGUACAUGUUGUUCAGCACAUGUAACACAACUUUACACUUUAUUUGCUAUUUUUCUCAACCUCUAAAGCAUUUUCAGAAGUACGUGGCACCUGUCUCGUCCACUGUGUGCAUUAACUUGUGACCAAACAAAGCUGUCUAACAGCACCUUGAAAUGUAGUUAAACUAAGUGUUCUUAAUACGGUUUACUUCUUCAAGCUCGUAAAUGUCUCUAUCAGGUUUGUGACUUUUGUCUUGGUAACUAUAUACAGUGCAUAGCAAUAGUCAUAUAGAGGCCUUAGAGUGUGAUAGACUGAAAAUAUAAAGGAUGCAGAAUGUGUCUAAAUUGUGCAUUACAAAGUGAUACUGUGAUAUUACAUGCAUAUUUUGAACGUUUCUAUGUAAUGCUACAAUAAUCUCUUGUUAAUCAACACCUCUCACUGUGCGGAUGUAUUUUGUUACAUAUG